rnacentral:snRNA from 1 species
GUAUUUUGUAAUGUGAAUAAAACAAAAAUCUGUUCUUAUCAGCUUAAUAACUGAUUAUAGGUCCUAUUUGGACCCAAGAUAUUAAACUCAUUUUUGGAAUUGGGCGGAGUGGUUGAAGCUUGCUUCACCUCCGCCAAAGGUUGGCCAGGUAUUUCACUGCCUCCGGGAUCGGCCCACUCACC